UUAUUAUGAAAAGCUUUAUUGACAGUUAAAUCCUAUCUUCUCCCCUGAGGAGUCACAGUUGUGUUUUCAAGUUCACUAGUGGCAGAUGCUUCCUAGCUACACUUCGCACUAUGUAAAGUGGAAUUUCUCAUCACCUGCAUGGGAUUUGUAGCUCCUGAGAUGUACUUUGCUUAAUAUUAGUACCGCGCGAUGACAUUGGCACAAAAACACUUUUUAUAUUCCACGGCAUUAUUUUCAGUUUCACUUUGUAGUUAAAGAAAAUCAUGAAAUGUUUUGUAAGUUUUACUUCCGGGUCAACUAGGGGGCUUGGGCUCUCUGUUAAGUCAAGCAUUGUGCUCUUCAAAGCAAGCAAUUGAAAACCUCAUGUUGAGUUGUUCUACCAAAGGAGUUUAAUAUCAAAGGACAUAUAUACACACGUAAAUAGGCUGGUAUCUCUAAUUUGACUUUCAUGAUUUCUUAUAUGCCACAACCACUUGUAUGGUGUCGUCUCUUCUUGGGAAGUUCUACCUCCACACUUACCAGAGUCCCUCUGUCCUUGUAAGGAAAGUGAAAUCCAAAAGAACGAUGAAAGUUGGUCAAAAUAAUGAGAGAGAACAUGAACUCAAUGUAUCCUGUAUUGGGUUGAACCACAACCCUUCCGAUAGGUUACGUGGUAUUAAUAGACCAUAUUUCGUGGCACUACCAGAUAUCAGAAAUCCAAUGGUCAUAUGGAGGCAUUGGGAAUACUAGUAAUCUUAGUGUUCCUCAAAUGCCUUUCCCGUUUGCCUCCACCUUUAUGCAUUUCACUACUCCUCAAGGCCUAUCUCAGAUUCCUCUUCCAUAGGACAGUCUGCAUGGAUUUUAGCCAACAUUUAUUCCUCUCUUUUUUUGCACACUUCUCGAACAGUUGGAUUAGAAAGCCGGGAAUUGGGAAACCUGAAGAGUGUAUUAACCAAGAAGCAGAGACGGGAGAGUUUCAACAAAGGGCGCAUCUAAAGUAUCCCACUACUGUGGACUGCCAUAGCAAAUAAAGUUGGCGAUUAAAUCUGGUCUUUCCUACUGAUGAUAAACUCCAAGGCAUAUUCUUAUAUUUGCUAAGUUGCCUUGCUGGGUUCACAGCAUGCAUGCACUUGGUAUUUAUUGAUUUAUCAGUUAACUGAAUCUUAACACAUUAUUGAAAGUUUCAAGUUUUAAAGAAAAGUAUUCCUCUCCACCCCUCAGUGUCAUCCCUGUUAUUAUUUUUCAUGGCACCCUGAUAAUCUCUUUUCUAGCAUUUUCCACUAACUGUAACAUCCCCAGCCUCGAGCACAGUGCCUCCCAUGUAGUAGGAUCUCAUUGUUUGUUGAAUGAAUGAACGGUCUGCUUAAAGAUAAAGGCAGUACCUCUUUGUGGACUAUACUUUUUUUAAGGUUGUUUUACAUCUGUUUUCUCUAAAACUUAGAGAGAGAUCUUUUAGUCAAAGGACUAGAGGUUAUGCAUCUUCUUUGUUCUUUCCAGAGUGCUCUCUAUCAGUGUUUCUCUCAGCAUAAAUAAGAAUUGCCUGGAGAACUUGUUAACACAGGGAUUACUUGGUCCCAUCCCCAGAGAUGGUGAUCAUUUGGGUCCUGGAAGUGACUCUGCUGCUAAUCUGUGAAGCAUACUUUGAGUAGGACCCCUCCAGGAUGUUGGAUGUACGGAUGCUUGCUCAAGAGAGGGAUUUGUGCUUACUUGCUUGCAAAGUAAUGAACCUUCUCGCGGAGUCAUAGUUCUUUGAAACCUGCAAGAACCUUUGCUCUCAUCUGGGCUACCGUUAAAGAUGAAAAAACCUGAGCUUUCAGAGAGUCUCAGUCUCUUGACCAAGAUCCUACAACUCGGUUCUUCUCAGUUCUUGUUCGGGUUUUAGUGUCAGGAUAGAAAUUUGCUAAGAUACACUGAAGUGGCUUCUCUCAAAUCAAGAGUGUCCACCGCAUGCUGCACAGAGAAUUUCGUUCCAAGGACAUGAACUUUCCAUUUGCCUUAUUCAUCAUUCCUUGAAAUUUUUCCCACAUAGGUUUAUACCACUGAAAGUUAAAUUACAUCAGAGCCUCCUUUUGAUAAACCUAGAGCAGCUUGCUAAAAUGCAUCACAAAGUUUUCGUUGUUUCUUAGGUGGUUUUAAUUAUGGAGGUUUCAUUUUAGUAAUAAUUGAGAACAAACUCUGACCAAUUGAACUAAGCCAAAGGAGAAGAAGUAGAAGAAGAAGGCAAGUAGACUUAUGAUUUGAGUUUUUUCCAGUCCUUGAAACUUUGAGAAUAUCUGUCUUUAUUAACUUUUGCUUUUUGCUGAUGGCUUCUCUCAUUUUAUUAUGGCUCAUAGCAUUGUAAAUUAAUUUAACAUGAAAGAUAAAAAUGUUGCUCUUGAAAUGUUUCUCAUUAAAUUAUGGAAAAAUAUUACAAUAAAUAAAGGAAAGGAAUGCCUCUAGUACCGGCUUCUGUUUGCUCAAUUAUUGCAGUACCAAAAGUGAAUUAUUACACAGUUAACUCAGAGGCAAUAUUAUUGCCAUUAUGUUAUAAAAUAGAUGAGUUGCAAU